GCCUGGAUGAAAAAGUGAGACCCAGUCUCAAAAAAAAAAAAAAUCUGAGGAUAGUUACAGAUUUAUUUGUUCCUCCUCCAUUCCCUCUGCUUCAUUUGACUAGCCUUAA
rnacentral:sRNA from 1 species